GGGGGGAUGAUCUUACUAAUUCCUCCAUAUUCACAUCAAAUAGUAAUACAUUUGUCAAGUAUGGCAUGGGCCCACUGUUUCUUAGAGAUAAGCAGAAAAGUAAUUUGAGGUUGAGAAAAAGGAUCGAGAUGCCAAUGUUAAGGUGAACUUAUAGUUCAGCUAGCUUGGAUUGGCAAAUUAAAAGAUAAUUAAACACUUUCAAUGCAGAUUAAGAGUGAAGGGAGGAAAGCAUUAGCAUAGAAGAUUUGGAUCAGUGCAGUGUGAUUUUGAGAUG
rnacentral:lncRNA from 1 species